GUUGUCAGUUAUCAAUGUCAAAGUUAGCUAGUUUAUUUUCAUUUUUUUAUUUGUGGCCUCUGUUUUUCAAUUAUUGUGGUAUCCGCGGAACGAAGUUCCGAGAGAAAGUGCUCAAUCUGCGAAUAAACCCGGAGAAGCAGGCGCUGAAAUUCUCUCAUAUGCCUAAUUCAAUUACAUCUUAUGCGGAACCAUCAUCUACCCCACGAUGGGAAUGAUUCUGAGAUGACUCGAUAUCGUCGAAAUGUGACAUCGCGCCGAUAUCAGCCCCACAGCAGCACUUCCGGAUUUUCUAAAGCCAUCGGCAACCAAACGAAAGGAACGUUUUGAUUUAGCCGGAUAGAGU